rnacentral:rRNA from 1 species
GGACCAAGGAGUCUAGCAUGUGCGCGAGUCAUUGGGAACCAUGACUAAACCUAAAGGCGCAGUGAAAGCGAAGGUGUCGUUUUCGACACCGUGGGAGGACGGGCGCAAGCCGCCCCGCACUCCCGGGGCGUCUCGCACUCAUCGCGAGGCGAGGCGCACCGCGAGCGUACACGCUGGGACCCGAAAGAUGGUGAACUAUGCCUGGUCAGGACGAAGUCAGGGGAAACCCUGAUGGAGGUCCGUAGCGAUUCUGACGUGCAAAUCGAUCGUCGGAACUGGGUAUAGGGGCGAAAGACUAAUCGAACCAUCUAGUAGCUGGUUCCCUCCGAAGUUUCCCUCAGGAUAGCUGGCGCUCGGGCGCAAACGAACAUUUACGCACACGAGUCUCAUCCGGUAAAGCGAAUGAUUAGAGGCAUUGGGGUCGAAACGGCCUCAACCUAUUCUCAAACUUUAAAUGGGUGAGAUCUCCGGCUUGCUUGAACCGUGAAGCCGGAGAUCGGAUCAACGGGCGCCAAGUGGGCCACUUUUGGUAAGCAGAACUGGCGCUGUGGGAUGAACCAAACGUCGAGUUAAAGCGCCAAAAUCGACGCUUAUGGGACACCAUGAAAGGCGUU